UUAGGUUACACACACAAAAAAUAGCAGGUGGGCUAAGUCACUCAGAGUAUGCAAGUGACACUCCUCUGAAGCCCCUCCCUGAAUGCCAGAUCAGGCCACAUAGCAGCCUGGAGUCGGUUCCAGCUCAGAGAACAGAGCAGCAGCUGCUGGGAGUUGGCAGCAGACCAAGUCUCAGCUGUAUUCUUGGCCUUCUGCCUCCUCCAGGCACUUACCAGGGGCGCGUGACCAAGGAAACAGCUGAGCCCCCACCUCAAAGAGGAAACGCAACCGCCACAGCCCCCGCCGCCACCUGCUCCGGAGCCAAACAACCAACAAAUUCCUGCUCAAUUCGAAGGGGUAAAGCGGACUGCUGAUUCACUCCUAGGAACGCCCGGGCUGUUUCCACUGAGGAUAGAGGCAUAGCUUAACAGGAAUGGGACGUCAUCGUGAACGCUCUGGCAGAGCCACCUGGGGACUUGAAGUUGCAGAGUAUCAGAAAUGAUAGAAUAGCAGUUACCAGAGUCUAGGGAUCGUGGGACGGAUGAUGGAGAGAGUCUGGUCAACGGGUACAAAGUUACACUCAGGAGGAAAAAGUUCUGUUCUAGAAAUUGCUCUAUAGGUGGGCUGAAAAUUUGCCAAGAACACGGACGACUGGACAGUUCACUUUCAUUUGCAACAAUUUCCAAGAGGACCCACGGUUACACAGCAUAAUUACAAAACUAAAGCAAACAUGUUAAAUGCCCUGCACCUUUUUUGAGAUGCCAAGUAUGGCCUUCUUGGGUGCCAUGAAGCAUUAAGACAGCCUCAGGCAUCAGCACACAUUCCAGGUCCAAAUGCAAUUCCCACGGCCCAGCAGGCAAGCUGGGACAGUGGAAAUGCGAGUAUAUGGCCCAGCAUUACUCCGGAGGACUGUGGGGGUGAGCGUGCCACUUCCCAGAACCGUGGCUCUGACAGCUUCAACUGCACUCACGUCAGUGCUAUUAAGAGAUGUUCCUAACUUCAAACAUUGUGAAAUCUCACCCCGCUCCGAGGACACAUCCCUCCAGAUCUGUCUCCGAUCAACACGGGAGGCUGUGCUUUGUGCUAUUAAAAAUUUCUCUGGAACAAGAAGGGCAAAAUGCUGAUGCUUCAUGAUGCAUACAUGGGGGUUUGUUACACAAUUAUCUCCAUUUUGUGCACAUUUAAAAAAUUUCCAUAAUAAAAAGUUCAAAGUAUAAAAA